rnacentral:rRNA from 1 species
UACGGGGGGGGCAAGCGUUGUUCGGAAUUACUGGGCGUAAAGGGCUCGUAGGCGGCCAACUAAGUCAGACGUGAAAUCCCUCGGCUUAACCGGGGAACUGCGUCCGAUACUGGAUGGCUUGAGUGUGGGAGAGGGAUGCGGAAUUCCAGGUGUAGCGGUGAAAUGCGUAGAUAUCUGGAGGAACACCGGUGGCGAAGGCGGCAUCCUGGACCACGACUGACGCUGAGUGAGCGAAAGCCAGGGGAGCAAACGGG